rnacentral:rRNA from 1 species
CCCUUAGAUGUUCUGGGCCGCACGCGCGCUACACUGAUGAAUUCAACGAGCUCCUAACCUAGGCCGAAGGGUCCGGGUAAUCUUUGAAAUUUCAUCGUGAUGGGGAUAGAUUAUUGCAAUUAUUAAUCUUCAACGAGGAACUCCUAGUAAGCGCGAGUCAUCAGCUCGCGUUGAUUACGUCCCUGCCCUUUGUACACACCGCCCGUCGCUCCUACCGAUUGAAUGGUCCGGUGAAAUGUUCGGACCGCGACAAGGCGGACGGUUCGCUGUCAGCUUUGCUGCGGGAAGUUCAUUAAACCUUAUCAUUUAGAGGAAGGAGAAGUCGUAACA